CUUUUGUGCCCCUCUAUUUACUUACUUACUAUCAGCAUGGUUUAGUUUAGAGAGAACUACAGUGCUUUGAGGAUACUGUAUGUGUUGUGUUCCCUAUUGUGCAUGGAAGUUAUUUUUCUGGGCAUUAUUCUACAAGGACCGUGUGUAACUACUUAGAAGCAUGAAAUAGCUAUUUAGCCAUCUGCCCAGCCAAGUACAAGGUAAAAUUCCUUCCUGUAAUAGUAGCCUUACAUAUUAAGGUAAUGGCUUUCAUUCUUCGGGAUAUAUGUGUUUCAUGGUAUGGUAGAAAGUACUGAUUGUGAAGGAUGGUUGCAACAUCCGAGCAAAUAGUUGGUUUGAACAUUUUGUAGUUGUGAUUUGCACUAGGAGUUGCUGGCCUUUUUCGUAUCAGCUUCAUCGUUGCCAUACUUUUUUGGUAGAUAUUUAAACAUAGCUCAGUACGAAUUACACUCGCAAAAAGGGAGAGACAAAGCGUAGUUUUUUGACGGGAAUAGCAGGAGCUCUGCUUUUGCAUUAUAGUGAAGGGAAAAAGUACAAAGUAUAGGGGAGGGGUGUUAAGCACCCCGAGCAUAAAACGAACACAAACAUAUACAGUUGCCUAUCGGAAAGCACUCCUGAAGAACAUGCACUACCCCUCUGCCGUAUGGGUAGGUCUCAAAGCCUCACUGAGCAAUGUAACGUCAUCACGAAUCAUGUUUACCAACGCCCUCGGUGUCAGGUCCUUAUCCUCAAAAACUCGACGGUUUCUCUCCUUCCAUAGAUGCCAGGCGAUGUACGCCGACAGAGUUAUCUCUUCCUCCGUCCUUGCUGGUGCUCCUCUUUGCGUACAAAGCAUCUUCCACCAAUCUGAAACUGAACUUGCCGAAGACACACCAUUGUACAUCCUGCUGUUGGCACCAAGGGAGAGAUGCCAGACCUCUCUCGCAUAACAGCAUUGAAGCGUGAGAUGCAUCGCGGUCUCCUGCUCCUGGUCACAAAAUUUGCAAGAGGCGUUAUGUGGCCAUCCUCUCGCCUGUAGCCGGUCGGCAGUCCAGUUUCUGUUCUGCAGCAGAAGCCACAUGUAGAAUUUCACCUUCCCUUCUAGCUUGCUUCUCCACACCCGGGCAAUCUCAGGCUGCUCAAUCCUGGCAGAGAAUUGGACCCCAUAAGCAGAACUCGCCGAGUAUAUUCCAUUGGCAGAGAUAUUCCAGUUGAUUUUGUCCCUUUGAGUUGACAAGUUCACCGGCUGCAAUUUUUCCCACAGGCCAACAAAUUGACAUAGCUGCUCGUGGCUGUCCAUUCGCUGUAUACCUUGCAUCCAUCGCCCAAUGCUUAUAGCCUCUUUGACCGUGAGCCGUUUACACCUAGCCAGCUUGAAGAUAUCCGGUGCUAGGUGCUGUGGGGCCUCGCCAUUGAGCCACCGAUCUUUCCAGAAGGUUGCAACACUACCAUCUCCCAACUCGAUGCAAGUGCAGCUGGAGAAGAGUUGCCGAUCAGUGUCAUCACAUGGAGUCGCUGUACCCUUCCAUGGCCUAUCCUCUUCAGCCCACCUGAACCAUUCCCAUCGAAUGCGCAAGGCCCUACUGAAACAAUCUAUAUCCUUCACUCCUAGGCCACCAAAACGCUUGGGGGCACACACUCGUUUCCAAUUUACAAGGCUUUUCCUCCCUAUUGAUUCAUCCUCCGCACACCAUAGGAAAUUUCUCCUCAGCUUGUCCACCUUUUUGGUGAGCCACUUGUCAGGCGGGAAGACCGUCAAGAAGAAAGUGGCGGUUGCCGUAACCACAGAAUUGAUGUACACCAGCCUUCCCAUCCUGUUUAAUAACCUUCCCUUCCUAGGAGCAAGCUUCCCCGCAACUUUGUCGAGGACAAGCUACUUGAUUCUUUCCUGAACAAUUAGAUUCUGAUAUUAAUGCAAUGCUGAUUCCUACUUUCAGGUUUAUUAGUUGGUUUUUUAUAUUGGCUUUAGGACGGCCAGUGUAUUUUGGUUAAUAUAUAAUGUGCUGCCAUUUGUUAACUUAAAUAUGUUUUCAUGCAUUUUCUUUGUACAUUCUUUCCGUUCAGGUUGUUUAAUAUAUAUGUACUGCCAUUUAUUAUCUUAAAUAUAUUUUGAUGCAUACCCUUUGUAUAUUCUUUCUGUUUAGGUUGGCAAUCCAGUCACUUACUCUGUCAAUUAUAUUUCCUUUUUCUGUUUCCUAUCUCUCUUUACAUACAUGCCAUUGCCCACCAAGUAUCAUACUACCUCCAAUUUGGGAUAGAUGAAGUACCUUUUAGUUUUGUAUGCCACUGAGUAUUGUUUGGUUACUACAAACCCAAGAUUGUAUGCAAAUUCAAGAAAAUGUAAUUUACUGUACAGAUCAAUGGUUUAUGCUUCCCAACACAGUAAUGGAACCUGCAGCAUGCAAAUUCCAGAAAAUGUAGUUUCGGGCACAAUAUAGUUUCCUGUGUGCACGACUGCAUGCUGUCUCCAAACCUUUAGUACAGGUUACAGUAUGAUAGGGAAACGCAUCAGCAACCCAAUCUACAUAAGUGAUCAAGAAGGUCAUAGCAACUUACUCCCUCCGUAAAGAAAUAAUAAGAGUGUUUAGAUCACUAAAGUAGUGAUCUAAACACUCUUAUAUCUCUUUAUAGAGGGAGUACUUGUUUAAUUUACAGUCUUUUUACACCUUUGAUUAAUGCUGACUAUUUGAGCACUGACUAAUUACUUUGAAGCCCACCACUGCACCAAGAAGCUGAAAGAUUCAGCUUAAAACAAAACAACAUGGAAACAUCACAAGAACCUCAACUAAGGUUGCUGACACUUUCUGAAAAAGUAUGAAUAUUGAAUGGAAGACGGGAGAAUGAUUGAUGAAAACAGACAACACUAGAAGUGAAUGCAUUAUUAGUCAAUGGAAACAUGAUUGUUUUAUACACUUUCUUUUACUGAGGAUGAACUUUGUAUUGCAUGCUAUGAACAAAUGUAGUGUUUGACUAAUUUUGAA